CAUUUACAGAAGGAAUAAUAUCAUCUGAGAACAUGACAGAAACUACUUUUUAAACACUGAGUGAAACACGCUUGUAGCAGCAAUUGAAUGUUUUGUUUCAGUAGCCCUGCAGAGGGCUGGAUCCUAAAAGUUCCUGAACAUCAAUUCCUCUUGAGAGCAUGGGGAAUGGAAGGCACUCAACAUUUCUUCAGUUACAGCCACGGAAAGGACAUAGCGAUGAAGUAG
rnacentral:lncRNA from 1 species